rnacentral:rRNA from 1 species
AUUGAACGCUGGCGGCAGGCCUAACACAUGCAAGUCGAACGAGUGGCGGACGGGUGAGUCAUGUCUGGGAAACUGCCCGAUGGUGGGGGAUAACUACUGGAAACGGUAGCUAAUACCGCAUACCACCGGAUGUGCCCAGAUGGGAUAAGCUAGUAGGAGGGGUAACGGCUCACCUAGGCGACGAUCCCGAGCUGGUCUGAGAGGAUGACGAGCAACACUGGAAUGUGGACACGGACCAGGAUCCUACGGGAGGUAGCGUUGAGGAAUAUGGAACGAAGGGCGAAAGCCUGAUGGAGCACGGCCAGGUGUAUAAGGAGGUUCGUCGGAUUGUAAAGGACUUUCAGCGAGGUGACGAAAGGCGCAGAAGAAGCACGUGCUAGCUCCGUGCCAGCCGCCGCGGUAAUUC